rnacentral:tmRNA from 1 species
GGGGCUUACUGGUUUCGACGCGGUUACGGACGCGCAGUGGGGCAUGCUGAGCUAGGGUCAUCCGUAAAAUCGAUUCAAAAAACUAACUGCAAACGACGAACGUUUCGCACUCGCUGCUUAAUUGCCAGUGAGCUUCACAACAGCAGCCGAUGGGCUGGGCAAGGGUGGUUUAGCAAUAAAUCGUCCAGGCUGUGGAGUCAUUUACAUCGGCUGGUUUGAGCCGGGCACCUUAGGUUUGAACAAGACAAUAGGGCGCUGGCGAACCUGAUAGCGUGCUACGCGAUCAGAUGAGUGAGAUUCAAAUCAGAUGGCUAAGCAUGUAGAUCUACGCGAAAAAGGUUGCGGACGGGGGUUCAAAUCCCCAGCUCCACCA